rnacentral:rRNA from 1 species
CUACGGGAGGCAGCAGUGGGGAAUAUUGCACAAUGGGGGAAACCCUGAUGCAGCAACGCCGCGUGAGUGAGGAAGUAUUUCGGUAUGUAAAGCUCUAUCAGCAGGGAAUAGAAAAGAGGGUACCUGAAAAAGAAGCCCCGGCUAACUACGUGCCAGCAGCCGCGGUAAUACGUAGGGGGCAAGCGUUAUCCGGAUUUACUGGGUGUAAAGGGAGCGUAGACGGAAAGGCAAGUCAGAAGUGAAAACCCAAGGCUCAACCAUGGGACUGCUUUUGAAACUGUCAAACUAGAGUACGGGAGAGGUAA